AGGCUAUGUUUAGUUCAUGAUUGGAAUAGUAGUGAAAAAUGAAAUUAGAUUGUAUUGGAAUGGAAAAUGAAACGAUGAAUCACUUAAAAAUAUUUCUUUCAUUAUUGAUAUAGAAAUGGGAAUAGAGAUCUUCUUUUUUUUUUCUUUUUUUUUUCUUUUUUUUUUUGAGAGAUAGGUAGCACGCUAUCCGCUUCGUUUAUUUCAUUUAGAAAUAAACUUAGCUGAAAAUGUGAAUCAACUAGGAUUCGAACUUAGGUCUCGGGUACCAAGUACCAACCACCAAGCCCUUUGUCACUUACUCUAGGGACGGUCGGUGAGAUCUAAAAUUUUGAAACAAAGUUUUGAUAAAAGAGAGGAAAGUGAUGAAGGGAGAGGAAAGAUAGGUGUUUGUCAGAGAGGAUUUUGAAUAGUUUACUUUGGAAUGCGCCAAUUUGGAAUUGAGAGCUGGAUUGAACUACACAUGGAUUAGGCCAUUCCCAUUCUAAAGCAAAAUGAGAAUCGAAAUCCGACUCCUGUAAACCAAACAACAACUAUCGGAAUCAAUAAAUCUCAUCCCGACUCCAUAAUCUAAAAUAAUUAAACCAAACAAGCCCUAAAUAUAUAAGCCAUUUAUCUGCUUAAUUA
rnacentral:lncRNA from 1 species